rnacentral:rRNA from 1 species
GACGAACGCUGGCGGCGUGCUUAACACAUGCCAGUCGAACGGAAAGGCUCCACUUUGCUGGGGUACACGAGUGGCGAACGGGUGAGUAACACGUGGGUGACCUGCCCUUCACUUCGGGAUAACCUUGGGAAACUGGGUCUAAUACCGGAUAGGACCUUGGUGUGGAUACUGGGGUGGAAAGUUUUUGCGGUGUGGGAUGGGCCCGCGGCCUAUCAGCUUGUUGGUGGGGUAAUGGCCUACCAAGGCGGCGACGGGUAGCCGGCCUGAGAGGGUGGACGGCCACAUUGGGACUGAGACACGGCCCAGACUCCUACGGGAGGCAGCAGUGGGGAAUAUUGCACAAUGGGCGGAAGCCUGAUGCAGCGACGCCGCGUGGGGGAUGACGGCCUUCGGGUUGUAAACUCCUUUCGCCAUCGACGAAGGGUUUCUGACGGUAGAUGGAGAAGAAGCACCGGCUAACUACGUG